rnacentral:tRNA from 1 species
AUUAUUUUGGCAGAUAAAGUGUAUUAAAUUUAGAAUUUAAUAAUGUAUAAUUUUUUAUACAAAUAAUA